rnacentral:rRNA from 1 species
UACAGAGGAUGCAAGCGUUAUCCGGAAUGAUUGGGCGUAAAGCGUCUGUAGGUGGCUUUUUAAGUCCGCCGUCAAAUCCCAGGGCUCAACUCUGGACAGGCGGUGGAAACUACCAAGCUGGAGUACGGUAGGGGCAGAGGGAAUUUCCGGUGGAGCGGUGAAAUGCGUAGAUAUCGUCUGGAACGCCGAAGGUGAAAACAGCUCGCUGGGGCUGCGCUGACGCUGAGACACGAAAGCCAGGGGAGCGAACGGG